rnacentral:rRNA from 1 species
AUCGAACGCUGGCGGCAGGCCUAACACAUGCAAGUCGAACGAGUGGCGGACGGGUGAGUAAUGUCUGGGAAACCGCCCGAUGGAGGGGGAUAACUACUGGAAACGGUCUCUAAUACCGCAUACCCUAGGAGGUGCCCAGCUGGGAUUAGCUAGUAGGGGGGGUAAUGGCUCACCUAGGCGACGAUCCCUAGCUGGCCUGAGAGUAUGACCAGCCACACUGGAACUGAGCCAGGGUCCAGACUCCAACGGGAGGCGGCAGUGGGGAAUAUUGGACAAUGGGGGCAAGCCUGAUGCAGCCAUGCCGCGUGUAUGAAGAAGGCCUUCGGGUUGUAAAGCACUUUCAGCGGGGAGGCGUUACCCGCAGAAGAAGCACCGGCUAACUCCGUGCCAGCCGCCGCGGUAAUAC